UACGUAGGGUGCGAGCGUUAAUCGGAUUUACUGGGCGUAAAGCGUGCGCAGGCGGCCCGUUAUGACAGGUGUGAAAUCCCUGGGCUCAACCUAGGAAUUGCGCUUGUGACUGGCGGGCUCGAGUACGGUAGAGGGGGGUGGAAUUCCUGGUGUAGCAGUGAAAUGCGUAGAGAUCAGGAGGAACACCGAUGGCGAAGGCAGCCCCCUGGGCCUGUACUGACGCUCAUGCACGAAAGCGUGGGGAGCAAACAGG
rnacentral:rRNA from 1 species